rnacentral:lncRNA from 1 species
GUGGUUCUCACAGUGAAGUCCCCAGAUGAAGGAAAGGAAGACUCGGGUGUGUUAUCGACUGUUUUCCCGUGAGAACAUUCCGACUCCUUGGGGACAAGGUCUGUGCCUGUGAAGCAGUUAAACAACUCAUACCCAGCUUCAGCUUCUCCUCUAUAAAAUGGCUCUAGGAUGCAGCAGUGAACAAAACAGACGAGUCUACAGAGUUGACAUGACAUGCAGGGGCCAUGGAGAAGGCGAGAACUGUGGAAACGUCGUUGUUGAGUAUGUCAAAUGGUGAUGUGUGCUGUAAAGAAGGAGUGAAGCUGGACUCAGAGCGGACAGGAAGACAGGGGUAGGGGUAGGUCUGGGCUUUUGUACAGGGUGAUCUGAGAAGGCCACUUUGACAAGGUGAUAUGUAAAGUGAGGACACAAGCCCUGUGACUAUGUGGGCACAACUCUCCUAGGAAAAGGGAGCAGCAAAGUGCAUGGACC